rnacentral:rRNA from 1 species
UACUCCUACGGGAGGCAGCAGUGGGGAAUAUUGCACAAUGGGCGCAAGCCUGAUGCAGCCAUGCCGCGUGUAUGAAGAAGGCCUUCGGGUUGUAAAGUACUUUCAGCGGGGAGGAAGGUGUUGAGGUUAAUAACCUCAGCAAUUGACGUUACCCGCAGAGAGACCAUGCCCCGGCUAACUCCGUGCCAGCAGCCGCGGUAAUAA